AUUGCUUAUAUUUGUUAAUUAAAGUUUCGUAUUUUGAUUUAACUUAAGAUUUCUUUCAGAAGCAAUCUGUCAGAUUAUUCGAGUUGGAAGACAGCACAAACAGUAACUUUAUUCUGAGAUGUUUUAAAAGCAUGUGGGCGGGAGGGAAGAGAGAUUCUUCUUCAAGAAUAAAAUUGAAAAGAACCACAUAUCCUCAACAAAAGCAUCUCCUCCAGACAGGCUUCAGAAUGAGAAACACGGGGAGGGGAGCUGAAGGCCCCAACCCGCCGCCUCUGACGUGUUUCUACAUUAAAAGUUGGCAUGACGUUGAACAUAUGUGAAGGCAAACACCACCAGAAGAGAAACACUGCACCUUUACUGAUGAUCACGCACUUGGGAUUAGGCCCCAGUACCAACCUUCCACCUGUGUUAGUCUGGGUUCAGUCAGGGAAAUAGAAUUUCUAGAGCAUUUUAAGAAUGAGGAAUUUAAGAUGGGAGUUGGGGAUCCCACAGAUGUGAGUGGAGAUGGCUAGUAAAAGUCUGGAAGGCAGUAGCUGAAGGACUGGAGAAGCAGUCCCUGAGGACCGUUGACCGCAGCACGGGGACUGGACGGAAGCCAGAGCUCACAGACACGUAGAAGCUUCCAUGUCUGGUCACCACGAUGGAGAACUGGGAGUUCGUGGGUGUGGCCAAGAAGCCGCUGCGUCUGCCCCCCGAGACCUCCUGAGAAGAAUGGCUUCCACUCCGUCUUCCCCUUAAAUCCCUUGUGAAUGUCUGUCACUGACAAACUCUAACCCAGAGCCAGAGAAGGAAGCGAGACUUGGAGACCUAGUUUCCAGUCCUAGUAGAGAAGAUUGGUGGUGCUUCUUUAAGAACAGACAACCCAACAUCAUUCCUAUGAAGAGAAACCAAAUAAAUAACUUCUGAUGCUGGGGAAAAACAGCUUUCCUAGAGAUGAGGUUGUAUACAUAUUAUUGGUUUUUUGUUUUGAUUUUGUUUUGUUUUGCUUUGCUUUUGCCCUCCAAAUGGUUUUAAAUUCUUUCUUUGGCAUUGGUCACUGAGAGUCACCGAGCAUCGAUUCCCCUCAGAAAAAGCACGGGCUGUUUACCAACCAACCCUCCCCCACCCCUAUAAUGUGAUUCUGAGGGUUGAACUGGAAAAUGUGUAUCAAGCAUUAGCACAUCUCUG